UUGCCUUGCUUCCCUUUCCCGGAGCCGCACCCAGGCCCCCCACCUUCAUGUACCCCUUUCCCAAACCUCUGAGGGGCCAGGGCCCCUCACCACGACUCCCCUGCAGCGGGAGAGCUUAGGGAGGCUGAGAGCUUGGAGAGCCAGGAGAGGGGGCCCCUCUCCCCGCCCGCCAGGCCCAUGGCUCCUAUGCACUGACCAGAGACGCUGACCCCCACACACCCUACACGCAAGCCUGGAAACUGAAAAAAAGAUGCAGCCCUGGAGGAUCAGAGAGGCCAAGACACAGAGGAAGAGCAAGAAAGGGCAAGAAGAGGCCAGAUGGAGGUGGAGCCUCGCACAGGCCAGGAAGAGGAGCAGGAGGAAACCAGAGGGGAGCCCGGAGCCCCGCAGGGCGCCCUGAACAGGAACGGUGGGUGGGGGUGGGGCACUUGCUGCUAAGAACACCCAAGAUCCCACUCUGUGGCCUGCACACGGCUUGCAGCCCUGGACAUGCCCUCUGCUUGAAGACGGGGCCAGUGCCUGUUCUUUACCCCUGGGGACAGUCGGUGGACAUUUGCUGUGGGCCUGUCAGGGGGCCAGGGACACACCUGUCCCCCAGGUGCUGACAUGAGUCCUGUUUUACAACUUGCAUCUCUGAGUGGCCUGUCUCGUGGCUGACAAACUCCUGGUUCUGAGUGGGUGACAGCUGUCCCCGCCCACUCAAUGACAGCAAAAGCAAUCCCAGGGAAUAGGACAUCCCCUGUCACCUCCCGGCAUCCCGACGGCAAGCGGCCCCUUGCGUGCCAAGCCCACACCCUGCGAGGAGUGCCCCUGCGGGCUGCUCGCCGGGGCGGCCCACACUCCAGGAGCCUCCAUCUGAAGCUCCCCCCUGUAACAGCCUGCACCCCAUCCCGAAAGCCCACAAUUGGGGGUAUCUAGCUGGAGGAUGGGCAAAUCCAUGACUUCUUGGCUUCGGCAAGCGGAACGCCUGAGCUGCACCCCACCACGUCACACCCCCUCUCAUGCCGGAGACGCGCCCACCUUGCGCACACCUCUCACACCUGCGCCGCCCCGCAGUCCCAGCCUCGGCCCAAGUCACCUCACCAGAAGAGCAAAGGAAGGAAGCCUGGAUCCACACUCAGCAACAGCUUCCCAAGCAUCCCCAGGGCCCGGGGCGUCGGGGGCACCCUGGCACGCCCUGUGCUUCGGUCUGUGUCUCCCUUGUGGCCCCGUGCCCGGUCCACACCCAAAGCCUUCAAGUCUUUCUGUGGAAGGAUCAGAGGGAGACCAAGUGUGGGCACGGGCCCGCCCGAGGCACUGGAAGGCCCUCAGGUGCCAGCUGGCUGUGGGGACCCUGAGGCCAGGCCAGCACCUACAGGACCCAAGAGAAAAAGAGCCGACACUGGUCACCCCUCCCCACCCCCCGACUGUAACUUACUCCUCAGCUUCUUCUGACUGUCCAGGGGUCCUCCUCACACCCCUCCUUCCAACAGGUCCCCGGAGCCUGUGUCACCCUGUAUCCUGACCUACCACCCUGCAGACCGGUUGGCUUGGGUCGGCGGUAUUUGUGUUGUCUCCCCACGAGCUGGGGGGCCCUCAGAGGCAACCCCUGUGUCACCAGACAAAGCCUGACACACAGACAGCCCCAGGGGAUGUCAGCUGAAGGAAUAAAUGGACGGAUGUGGG